AACGAACGCUGGCGGCAUGCCUAACACAUGCAAGUCGAACGAGACCUUCGGGUCUAGUGGCGCACGGGUGCGUAACGCGUGGGAACCUGCCCUUAGGUUCGGAAUAACUCCCCGAAAGGGGUGCUAAUACCGGAUAAUGUCUUCGGACCAAAGAUUUAUCGCCUUUGGAUGGGCCCGCGUUGGAUUAGCUAGUUGGUAGGGUAAAAGCCUACCAAGGCGACGAUCCAUAGCUGGUCUGAGAGGAUGAUCAGCCACACUGGGACUGAGACACGGCCCAGACUCCUACGGGAGGCAGCAGUGGGGAAAAUUGGACAAUGGGCGAAAGCCUGAUCCAGCAAUGCCGCGUGAGAGAUGAAGGCCUUAGGGUUGUAAAGCUCUUUUACCCGGGAUGAUAAUGACAGUACCGGGAGAAUAAGCUCCGGCUAACUCCGUG
rnacentral:rRNA from 1 species